ACUUUAGCCUUCACCACCCAGCGCAUGCUGCUUGGUAAUCACUGAGUUGGCUGGACUGUCUUCUCUCAAUGUGGUCAUGAUGGCUGAGGAUAGAGGUGGAGCAGGUGCCAUGCUGCUCUCAUGAGAUGGAGACCACAUACUCUAAGAAAGCUGAACAGAAAAAUAAAAGGUGUCUGAGUCCCUGAUGACAUAAUGGAGCUACCAUAACCACCAUGGAUAUCAUCUAGGUGCUUUGUAAUAUAAAAAGAAUAAACCCUCUAAUUGGUUCAA